rnacentral:rRNA from 1 species
AGUGGGAGCACCCUUUGGGGUGUGACUGCGUACCUUUUGUAUAAUGGGUCAGCGACUUAUAUUCUGUAGCAAGGUUAACCGAAUAGGGGAGCCGGAGGGAAACCGAGUCUUAAUUGGGCGUUAAGUUGCAGGGUAUAGACCCGAAACCCGGUGAUCUAGCCAUGGGCAGGUUGAAGGUUGGGUAACACUAACUGGAGGACCGAACCGACUAAUGUUGAAAAAUUAGCGGAUGACCUGUGGCUGGGGGUGAAAGGCCAAUCAAACCGGGAGAUAGCUGGUUCUCCCCGAAAGCUAUUUAGGUAGCGCCUCGUGAAUUCAUCUCCGGGGGUAGAGCACUGUUUCGGCUAGGGGGCCAUCCCGGCUUACCAACCCGAUGCAAACUGCGAAUACCGGAGAAUGUUAUCACGGGAGACACACGGCGGGUGCUAACGUCCGUCGUGAAGAGGGAAACAACCCAGACCGCCAGCUAAGGUCCCAAAGUCAUGGUUAAGUGGGAAACGAUGUGGGAAGGCCCAGACAGCCAGGAUGUUGGCUUAGAAGCAGCCAUCAUUUAAAGAAAGCGUAAUAGCUCACUGGUCGAGUCGGCCUGCGCGGAAGAUGUAACGGGGCUAAACCAUGCAC